rnacentral:lncRNA from 1 species
GGGGAGGCUCUCUAUUUAUAGUUGAGCUCCCCCAAAACCGAUGGCUACAAUUAAAAGCUGUAUUCAAUUAGGACUCUAACUUUACAGAAUUAGAAGUUGUGUACAAUUAGAACUUCUAAGACUACUUAGUCCUAUCUUCAUUAUCGGGCCCAUCAGGCUUCAAUGUGACAGGCCUGUCCAACAGCUCUUUGAAUCGGGCCAGUUCUCGUAGGCCAAAUGAUCCCCAUCUGAGCAACAGACCUCCAUUGGAUGCAUUUGGUG